rnacentral:rRNA from 1 species
GACGAACGCUGGCGGCGUGCUUAACACAUGCAAGUCGAACGAAGUGGCGAACGGGUGAGUAACGCGUAAUCAACCUGCCCUUCAGAGGGGGACAACAGUUGGACACGACUGCUAAUAACGCAUACCGCAGGAGGGGAUUGCGUUGGAUUAGCUAGUUGGCGGGGUAACGGCGCACCAAGGCGAGGAUAAGUAGCCGGUCUGAGAGGAGGAACGGCCACAUUUGGACUGAGACACGGCCCAGACUCCUACGGAAGGCAGCAGUGGGGAAUCUGCCGCAAUGGACGAAAGUCUGACGAAGCAACGCCGCGUGAGUGAUGACGGCCUUCGGGUUGUAAAGCUCUGUUAAUCGGGACGCGGUACCGGAAUAGAAAGCCACGGCUAACUACGUGCCAGCAGCCGCGGUAAUUC